AUUGAAAGCUGGCGGCAUGCCUUACACAUGCAAGUCGAACGGUAACAGGUUAAGCUGACGAGUGGCGAACGGGUGAGUAAUGUAUCGGAACGUGCCCAGUCGUGGGGGAUAACUACUUGAAAGAGUGGCUAAUACCGCAUACGACCUGAGGGUGAAAGCGGGGGACCGUAAGGCCUCGCGCGAUUGGAGCGGCCGAUAUCAGAUUAGCUAGUUGGUGGGGUAAAAGCUCACGAAGGCGACGCUCUGUAGCUGGUCUGAGAGGACGACCAGCCACACUGAGACUGAGACACGGCCCGGACUCCUGCGGCAGGCAGCAGUGGGGAAUUUUGGACAAUGGACGUAAGUAUGAUCCAGGCAUGCCUAGUGCGAGAAGAAGACCUUCGGGUUGUAAACCGCUUUGGUCAGGGAAGAAACGAGUUUCUCUAAUAUAGAGACUUAAUGACGGUACCUGAAGAAUAAGCACCGGCUAACUACGUGCCAGCCGCCGCAGUAAUCC
rnacentral:rRNA from 1 species